CAGCCGCCGCGGUAAUACGUAGGGUGCAAGCGUUAAUCGGAAUUACUGGGCGUAAAGCGUGCGCAGGCGGUUUGUUAAGACAGAUGUGAAAUCCCCGGGCUCAACCUGGGAACUGCAUUUGUGACUGGCAGGCUAGAGUAUGGCAGAGGGGGGUGGAAUUCCGCGUGUAGCAGUGAAAUGCGUAGAUAUGCGGAGGAACACCGAUGGCGAAGGCAGCCCCCUGGGCCAAUACUGACGCUCAUGCACGAAAGCGUGGGGAGCAAACAGGAUUAGAUACCCGAGUAGUCCCUGUCUCUUAUAA
rnacentral:rRNA from 1 species